rnacentral:misc_RNA from 1 species
AGCAUCAAAAGGUCCAUUAUACUAUGGAUAUCAUAAGCAAGAGUUUUGUAUGACAUGAUACAUGUUCUACAUAUAUAAUUUUGUUACAAGAUGUAUGUCAUUUUUCUUUUUGAUGUGGACCUUAUCUUACACCUUAACCCCUGCUGCUGCUUCUUUGAUUUGGUUGAUGGUAAAAAUGCCAAAACAGUCGUCAUCCUUAACAGCAUUUAUCACUGCAUAAGCAACGUCGUCCACGCUAACAGGAGGGGCAAGAAUUAAAUCGGAUGCUGGCAACGAGUUCAAUGGUUUAGUGAAGCUCUCUGUUGCACGUAAUAACUUUUCAAGAGGUUCUCCAAUCAAAUCUAGAGGGAUCUCGAAGCCGUCAACCUUCCUCUUCCCAUAUAUAAAGGCAGGUCUAAGAACCACACCUGAGCUAGGGAAUUUGGAAAGAACUUCUGAUUCUGCUUUUCUUUUCCCUAUGAAGUAACUUGAUUGGAGGAAUGAUGGUAGAUUGUAAUCAUGCACAGAAAUCAAUAUGAACUUAGGGGUCCCAUAUUCUUUAGCAGCAUUGACAGCCACAACAUUAGCUUCACCAUUGAUCCUAAGCAUUUGUUCAUCAGAACCAAAACCUCCUAAAGUUGAAACAACUGCUGUAGCCCCAAUAAGUACUUCAUCCCAGUUUGCAUAGAAA